GACUAACGCUGGCGGCGUGCCUAACACAUGCAAGUCGAACGAAGCAGCAAUGCUUAGUGGCAGACGGGUGAGUAACGCGUAGAUAAUGUGCCCUCUUGCGGGGGAUACCGUUUCGAAAGGAACGUUAAUACCGCAUAAAGUCCUUAGAAGGCAUCUUUUAGGGACCAAACUUCCGGGGCGGGAGGAGCAAUCUGCGUACUAUCAGCUAGUUGGUGAGGUAAUGGCUCACCAAGGCUACGACGGUUAACUGGUCUGAGAGGAUGAUCAGUCACACUGGAACUGAGACACGGUCCAGACUCCUACGGGAGGCAGCAGUGAGGAAUAUUGCACAAUGGGCGAAAGCCUGAUGCAGCGACGCCGCGUGGAGGAUGAAGGAUUUCGGUCUGUAAACUCCUGUCAAUAGGGAAGAGAAUGGACGGUACCUACUGAGGAAGCUUCGGCUAACUACGUG
rnacentral:rRNA from 1 species